GACGGAGGGCGCAAGCGUUGUUCGGAAUUACUGGGCGUAAAGCGCACGCAGGCGGUCUUUUAAGUCCUUUGUGAAAGCCCGGGGCUCAACUCCGGAACUGCAUAGGAUACUGGGAGACUUGAGACAGGUAGAGGCUAGCGGAAUUCCUGGUGUAGCGGUGGAAUGCGUAGAUAUCAGGAAGAACACCUGUGGCGAAGGCGGCUAGCUGGGCCUGUUCUGACGCUCAUGUGCGAAAGCGUGGGGAGCAAACAGGAUUAGAUACCCUCGUA
rnacentral:rRNA from 1 species